GGCACGAGUAUGUGGUGGAGGAGAGAGCAGGAAGAGACCUGAUCCCCAAGUCCCCUUGGGAACACACCCCUAAUGACCUGACUCCCUUCCAGCGACAUCUGAACAUUUCCACUGCCUCCCAAAAGCACCAUACAUGGGCACAAAGCCUUUAACAUGUGGAACUUUGGGGUCAUUUAAUAUCCAAAUCAAUAGACAGAAGAGGAAGAGAGGGGUGAUCCAAAUCAAAAGGAGGACAGUGGAAUUAUGGACAAUAGAGUGACGCCAUGCUACCACUGGGCACAUCAAGGUCGCCCAGAAUUCAGCUAAGAGCACUUCAACCCCGUCCAUGGACUCAUUUCCCCAUCACACCUACCACCAGGCGUCUGGGUUCUGAAAAUAGGCAAUCACAGAAACUGUCCUCCGGGAGAGGGAAUGAUGGCAGAGACAUACCAAACUUCGAGACCAACAUGGCAGAGCUGCUGGAAUCCACCACAAUUUUCUCACAAGUGACAAAAACAGUUUCUCCAGGUUCCUGCCUUGAGCUCUUGCCCUGGCUCCCUUGGGUGAUGGAGUUUAACCCGUGAACCAGCUAAACCCUUUCUACCCACUGUGGUAUGACCACACAUGGUUCCCGGAAGCUCUGGCCCUCUUUGCCUUUUUUGUGAAACACCUGCCACACUUGAAUAAACCCUUUCCUGCUUAGACUGACCAGAAUGGGUUCUGUGUUGGCAACUUAGAGCUCUUGACCAAUAAAUACCCAAUCCUAUUGGAAACAGGAACCUCGAGUUUCAGGAACUCUAGACCUUGUUACUGCAGCAAAAGUAAACACUUGCUUGUCUUUAAAAUAAAAUAACUAACUCUUACAAGUUAUGAAAUAGGCCCGGUUUUCUUACAACUCAUUUUUCAGUCACAUUUCUUAUGGCAACUUUCAAGUCAGCUGAUAAAGAUGCUCAAGCAGUGUAAUUUCCCUCUAAUGCGCAUUUAUAGAAGGCACAGGAGUCCAUGAAGUCUGCUCAGUUUCUCCACACUCUUGGCUCACUUUGUUCUCAGGGCAAGAGCAAGGAUGGGACAGACUAAAACUGCUGUCCACGCAUCCAUUACCCAUGAACGCUGGCCUUACUGCUUCCAUGCUCAAGACGCUGUACAGUAACCAGGAAAUUAGACCUCUUUUUCCUCCAAGAAUAAUGAG